rnacentral:rRNA from 1 species
UUAGCUGGUCUGAGAGGACGAUCAGCCACAUUGGGACUGAGACACGGCCCAGACUCCUACGGGAGGCAGCAGUGGGGAAUAUUGGACAAUGGGCGCAAGCCUGAUCCAGCCAUACCGCGUGUGUGAAGAAGGCCUUCGGGUUGUAAAGCACUUUAAGCAGGGAGAAAAAGUUAUAAGUUAAUACCUUAUAACCGUGAUGUUACCUGCAGAAUAAGCACCGGCUAAUUCCGUGCCAGCAGCCGCGGUAAUACGGAAGGUGCAAGCGUUAAUCGGAAUUACUGGGCGUAAAGCGCGCGUAGGUGGUUUGUUAAGUUGGAUGUGAAAGCCCUGGGCUCAACCUAGGAACUGCAUCCAAAACUAACUCACUAGAGUACGAUAGAGGGAGGUAGAAUUCAUAGUGUAGCGGUGGAAUGCGUAGAUAUUAUGAAGAAUACCGGUGGCGAAGGCGGCCUCCUGGAUCUGUACUGACACUGAGGUGCGAAAGCGUGGGUAGCGAACAGGAUUAGAUACCCUGGUAGUCCACGCCGUAAACGAUGACAACUAGCUGUUGGGAGACAAUGUCUUUCAGUGGCGCAGCUAACGUUUUAAGUUGUCCGCCUGGGGAGUACGGCCGCAAGGCUAAAACUCAAAUGAAUUGACGGGGACCCGCACAAGCGGUGGAGCAUGUGGUUUAAUUCGAUGCAACGCGAAAAACCUUACCUACUCUUGACAUACUUGGAAGCUCUUGUAAUGAGAGUGUGCCUUUUGGAACCAAGAUACAGGUGCUGCAUGGCUGUCGUCAGCUCGUGUCGUGAGAUGUUCCGUUAAGUCGGAUAACGAGCGCAACCCUUACCCUUAUUUGCCAGCGAUUAGGUCGGGAACUAUAAGGGGACUGCCGGUGAUAAACCGGAGGAAGGUGAGGACGACGUCAAGUCAUCAUGGCCCUUACGAGUAGGGCUACACACGUGCUACAAU